CCGUGCUAGACGGGGAGGUAGCGGUGCCCUGCACCCGCAAUCCGCUACAGCGGGGUCGAACUCCCUCCCGAGGCCUCGCCUUGUGGGGCCGGCCGGGGUGCGUGGCGUUGAAGAUUGGGUCUUGCGCAGCGGGUACCCGUGAACCCCGUCAGGUCCGGGAGGAAGCAGCGGUAAGCGGGAAUCCCGGGUGCCGCAAGGACGCCUGAUCUGAGCAGACGGCCCGGGUAUCGCCCGGAAGGCGCCGUCGACGGAGGGUGCACGG
rnacentral:SRP_RNA from 1 species